GAUGAACGCUGGCGGCGUGCUUAACACAUGCAAGUCGAACGAAGCACUUUAUUUGAUUUCCUUCGGGACUGAUUAUUUUGUGACUGAGUGGCGGACGGGUGAGUAACGCGUGGGUAACCUGCCUUGUACAGGGGGAUAACAGUUGGAAACGGCUGCUAAUACCGCAUAAGCGCACGGCAUCGCAUGAUGCAGUGUGAAAAACUCCGGUGGUAUAAGAUGGACCCGCGUUGGAUUAGCUAGUUGGUGAGGUAACGGCUCACCAAGGCGACGAUCCAUAGCCGACCUGAGAGGGUGACCGGCCACAUUGGGACUGAGACACGGCCCAAACUCCUACGGGAGGCAGCAGUGGGGAAUAUUGCACAAUGGGCGAAAGCCUGAUGCAGCGACGCCGCGUGAGCGAAGAAGUAUUUCGGUAUGUAAAGCUCUAUCAGCAGGGAAGAUAAUGACGGUACCUGACUAAGAAGCACCGGCUAAAUACGUGCCAGCAGCCGCGGUAAUACGUAUGGUGCAAGCGUUAUCCGGAUUUACUGGGUGUAAAGGGAGCGCAGGCGGUGCGGCAAGUCUGAUGUGAAAGCCCGGGGCUCAACCCCGGUACUGCAUUGGAAACUGUCGUACUAGAGUGUCGGAGGGGUAAGCGGAAUUCCUAGUGUAGCGGUGAAAUGCGUAGAUAUUAGGAGGAACACCAGUGGCGAAGGCGGCUUACUGGACGAUAACUGACGCUGAGGCUCGAAAGCGUGGGGAGCAAACAGGAUUAGAUACCCUGGUAGUCCACUCCCUAAACCGAAGAAUAAAAGAUGUUGGGAAGCAAUGCUUUUCGGUGCCGUCGCAAACGCAGUAAGUAUUUCACCUGGGGAGUACGUUCGCAAGAAAGAAACUCAAAAGAAUAGACGGGGACCCGCCCAAGCGGCGGAGCACGUGGUUUAAUUUGAAGCAACGCGAAGAACCUUACCAAGUCUUGACAUCCUUCUGACCGGUACUUAACCGUACCUUCUCUUCUGAGCAGGAGUGACAGGUGGUGCAUGGUUGUCGUCAGCUCGUGUCGUGAGAUGUUGGGGUAAGUCCCGCAACGAGCGCAACCCUUAUCUUUAGUAGCCAGCGGUCCGGCCGGGCACUCUAGAGAGACUGCCAGGGAUAACCUGGAGGAAGGCGGGGAGGACGUCAAAUCAUCAUGCCCCUUAUGACUUGGGGUACACACGUGCUACAAUGGCGUAAACAAAGGGGAGCAAAGCUGUGAAGCCGAGCAAAUCUCAAAAAUAACGUCUCAGUUCGGACUGUAGUCUGCAACCCGCCUACACGAAGCUGGAAUCGCUAGUAAUCGCAGAUCAGAAUGAUGC
rnacentral:rRNA from 1 species